GAUGAAGAACGUAGCGAAAUGCGAUAAGUAAUGUGAAUUGCAGAAUUCAGUGAAUCAUCGAAUCUUUGAACGCACAUCGCGCCCGCCAGUAUUCUGGCGGGCAUGCCUGUCUGAGCGUCAUUUCAACCCUCAUGCCCCUAGGGCGUGGUGUUGGGGAUCGGCCAAAGCCCGCGAGGGACGGCCGGCCCCUAAAUCUAGUGGCGGACCCGUCGUGGCCUCCUCUGCGAAGUAGUGAUAUUCCGCAUCGGAGAGCGAUGAGCCCCUGCCGUUAAACCCCCAACUUUCCAAGGUUGACCUCAGAUCAGGUAGGAAUACCCGCUGAACUUAAGCAUAUCAAUAAGCGGAGGA
rnacentral:misc_RNA from 1 species